GACGGGUUGGUUUUGCAUGU
rnacentral:miRNA from 1 species